rnacentral:rRNA from 1 species
UACGAAGGGGCUAGCGUUGCUCGGAAUCACUGGGCGUAAAGCGUGCGCAGGCGGCUUUGCAAGACAGAUGUGAAAUCCCCGGGCUCAACCUGGGAACUGCAUUUGUGACUGCAUGGCUGGAGUGCGGCAGAGGGGGAUGGAAUUCCGCGUGUAGCAGUGAAAUGCGUAGAUAUGCGGAGGAACACCGAUGGCGAAGGCAAUCCCCUGGGCCUGCACAUGACGCUCAUGCACGAAAGCGUGGGGAGCAAACAGG